GAUGAACGCUGGCGGCGUGCCUAAUACAUGCAAGUCGAGCGAACGGACGAGAAGCUUGCUUUUCUGAUGUUAGCGGCGGACGGGUGAGUAACACGUGGAUAACCUACCUAUAAGACUGGGAUAACUUCGGGAAACCGGAGCUAAUACCGGAUAAUAUUUUGAACCGCAUGGUUCAAAAGUGAAAGACGGUCUUGCUGUCACUUAUAGAUGGAUCCCCGCUGCAUUAGCUGGUUGGUAAGGUAACGGCUUACCAAGGCAACGAUGCAUAGCCGACGUGAGAGGGUGGUCGGCCGCACUGGAACGGAGACACGGACCAUACUCCUGAGGGAGGCAGCAGAAGGGAAUCUUCCGCAGUGGGCGAAAGUCUGACGGAGCAACGCCGCGUGAGUUAUGACGGUCUUCGGAUCGUAAAACUCUGUUAUUAGGGAAGAACAUAUGUGGAAGUAACUGUGCCCAGCGUGACGGUAACUAAUCAGAAAGCCACGGCUAACUACGUG
rnacentral:rRNA from 1 species